GCCGGAGUGGCGGAAUGGCAGACGCGGCGGACUCAAAAUCCGUUGGCCGCAAGGCCGUGAAGGUUCGACUCCUUUCUCCGGCA
rnacentral:tRNA from 1 species